UACAGAGGGUGCGAGCGUUAAUCGGAAUUAUUGGGCGUAAAGGGCGCGUAGGCGGCUUCGCAAGUGGUGGGUGAAAUCCCUCGGCUUAACCGAGGAACUGCCCUCCAAACUGCGUUGCUUGAGUCCGGGAGAGGUGAGUGGAAUUCCCAGUGUAGCGGUGAAAUGCGUAGAUAUUGGGAGGAACACCAGUGGCGAAGGCGGCUCACUGGACCGGAACUGACGCUGAGGCGCGAAAGCGUGGGGAGCAAACGGG
rnacentral:rRNA from 1 species